GAUGAACGCUGGCGGCGUGCCUAAUACAUGCAAGUCGAGCGAACAGACGAGGAGCUUGCUCCUCUGACGUUAGCGGCGGACGGGUGAGUAACACGUGGAUAACCUACCUAUAAGACUGGGAUAACUUCGGGAAACCGGAGCUAAUACCGGAUAAUAUAUUGAACCGCAUGGUUCAAUAGUGAAAGACGGUUUUGCUGUCACUUAUAGAUGGAUCCGCGCCGCAUUAGCUAGUUGGUAAGGUAACGGCUUACCAAGGCAACGAUGCGUAGCCGACCUGAGAGGGUGAUCGGCCACACUGGAACUGAGACACGGUCCAGACUCCUACGGGAGGCAGCAGUAGGGAAUCUGCCGCAAUGGGCGGAAGCCUGACGGAGCAACGCCGCGUGAGUGAUGAAGGUCUUCGGAUCGUAAAACUCUGUUAUUAGGGAAGAACAAAUGUGUAAGUAACUAUGCACGUCUUGACGGUACCUAAUCAGAAAGCCACGGCUAACUACGUG
rnacentral:rRNA from 1 species